UACGUAGGUGGCAAGCGUUAUCCGGAAUUAUUGGGCGUAAAGAGCGCGCAGGUGGUUGAUUAAGUCUGAUGUGAAAGCCCACGGCUUAACCGUGGAGGGUCAUUGGAAACUGGUCGACUUGAGUGCAGAAGAGGGAAGUGGAAUUCCAUGUGUAGCGGUGAAAUGCGUAGAGAUAUGGAGGAACACCAGUGGCGAAGGCGGCUUCCUGGUCUGUAACUGACACUGAGGCGCGAAAGCGUGGGGAGCAAACAGGAUUAGAUACCU
rnacentral:rRNA from 1 species